GGACCCGCACAAGCGGUGGAUGAUGUGGUUUAAUUCGAUGCAACGCGAAAAACCUUACCUACCCUUGACAUGUCUGGAAUUGCGCAGAGAUGUGCAAGUGCCCGAAAGGGAGCCAGAACACAGGUGCUGCAUGGCUGUCGUCAGCUCGUGUCGUGAGAUGUUGGGUUAAGUCCCGCAACGAGCGCAACCCUUGUCAUUAGUUGCUACGAAAGGGCACUCUAAUGAGACUGCCGGUGACAAACCGGAGGAAGGUGGGGAUGACGUCAAGUCCUCAUGGCCCUUAUGGGUAGGGCUACACACGUCAUACAAUGGCUGGUACAGAGGGUUGCCAACCCGCGAGGGGGAGCUAAUCCCAUAAAACCAGUCGUAGUCCGGAUCGUAGUCUGCAACUCGACUGCGUGAAGUCGGAAUCGCUAGUAAUCGCGGAUCAGCAUGUCGCGGUGAAUACGUUCCCGGGUCUU
rnacentral:rRNA from 1 species